rnacentral:lncRNA from 1 species
GGGUGUUGGGGGCUCCAGAGUCCAAGAUCAUCAUUGGUUACAGAGGGUGUUUGAGGCUAGCCUGGGCUACUUGGAAUCCUGUGUCAAAACCCUCCAAACCAAACCAAAUCAACAACUUUAAAAAAAAGGAAAAGAAAAAGAAAACAAAACCAGAGAGAGACAGGCGUGCACUUUCCAUGUGCAUGUAGAAAGGUCAGAGGACAACUUCAAGGAGUUUGCUCUUUCCUUCCAUUGGGAAUCUCAAAAUGGAAUGCAUAUUGUUGGGCUUGCAAGAGUGUCACAGAGCAAGAGGACCAGACACCAAUGAAAACAGAUGACCCAGGUGAUCCAACAUCUCAAAAUGCCUCUGUUACAGUCUCCUCAGAAUUCUGCAUCCAGAACAGCUUCAAGGCUUCUGGCUGAGAUGAUUCAGCCUCAUAAAAUACUCCAGUAAGGAGUAUUUGACCCUAAACUUGAAUUUUCUCAGAGUCCCCCAAAGAUUAACCAGCACCCCCAAUCAACGGGAAGUAGUCUAGGGAACUAUGUCCACAUUCCUCAAAAAUGACUUAUGAGUGUUUAUUAUCAUUUAAGGGGGGAUGUUGGUUACAAGCUGUUACUGGUCAUGGUCAGGAAAAAAGCUAAGCAAAAAAAGUUAAAUUCAAAGAUGUCUUCCUAAAGGAAAAAAAGGAGAUAUGACAUAGAAGUGAUAGGAUAAAAGGGAAGUAUAGACCAGGCUGGCCUCAAACUCACAGAGAUCUGCCUGUCUCUUCCUCCCCAGUGCUGGGAUUAAAGGUGUGCGCCGCCACUGCCUGGCGUAGCACGAGUUCUAAUUGGGCUUAAUAAUAAAAACCCAGAGUUGGAUAGGGAUAAAUGCUAAAAGAUCAGAGAGAGAAAGGAGCAAAGUACAGCCACUCCUCACCCAGUAACUCCUCAGUAUGAAGGGCCUGAGCGCCCAUCUCACCCGCUUUAUAUCUCCUCUCAGCCAUGUCACUUCCUGUCUGUCCGAACAAACCUCUGUGGUUAACUCAUGGCUAGCUCCACCCUUUGAUCUUCAGGCAAACUUUAUUUGUUAGGGCACAAACAAAAUAUAACCACAGGGUAGAUAUUGAAUCAACUUUUUUUUUUUCCUGAGACAGGGUUUCUCUGUGGCUUUGGAGCCUGUCUGGAACUAGCUCUUGUAGACCAGGCUGGUCUGCCUGCCUCUGCCUGCCUCUGCCUCCAGAGUGCUGAAAAGACGCAUGCCACCACUGCCCGGCUGAAUCUACUUUUAAAUGAAAAAACAAAAACAAAAACAAAAAAACGAAAAC